UACGAAGGGGGCGAGCGUUGUUCGGAAUUACUGAGCGUAAAGGGCGCGUAGGCGGCCGAUCAAGUCAGAUGUGAAAGUCCUGGGCUUAACCUGGGGACUGCAUUUGAUACUGGUUGGCUUGAAUUCGGGAGAGGAUAGCGGAAUUCCCGGUGUAGAGGUGAAAUUCGUAGAUAUUGGGAAGAACACCGGUGGCGAAGGCGGCUAUCUGGACCGACAUUGACGCUGAUGCGCGAAAGCGUGGGGAGCAAACAGG
rnacentral:rRNA from 1 species